GACAGAGGGUGCAAGCGUUGUUCGGAAUUACUGGGCGUAAAGGGCGUGUAGGCGGUGGCGUGUGUCUGACGUGAAAUCCCUCGGCUUAACCGGGGAACGGCAUUGGAAACUACGUCGCUGGAGUGCGAGAGAGGAUGGCGGAAUUCCCAGUGUAGAGGUGAAAUUCGUAGAUAUUGGGAAGAACACCGGUGGCGAAGGCGGCUAUCUGGACCGACAUUGACGCUGAGGCGCGAAAGCGUGGGGAGCAAACAGG
rnacentral:rRNA from 1 species